rnacentral:lncRNA from 1 species
UUUAUUUAUUUAUAAAACCAGUAUUUCACACGUCAGGACAAGAAAACAAUGAAAUAUGCAUCACUAUAGCUUAUUGUAAAAUCACACGAAAUAAGAAUAAUCAGCAAGACCAAAAUCAGAGGCCAUAAGAACUUCUCACAUGGCCUCGUGUGCCCAUAAAAGUUUGCAAUAUAAAACUGUUUUCUACAGAUUCGUGCAACAUAAUGACUAUAACUAUAUCUCCCAUGCAUUGGUACUAUAUAACUAAAACUGGCACAUGCUGAGUGUCUCCAGAUACUUCGUCUCCAAGUUGCUUACAAACAGCUUCUUCCUUCCUUGAUUAUAGCAGAUUCCCUAUUCGCCAUUUUCCUGAUAAAAUCACAAAACGUGGAUCAAGUGAGAUAAGGUCACCUAAAAAAAUACAUGCGUAUUUGCAUAUGGUGCAACCGAUGAACCAGAAUUGCUCAUCAUGUACAUUCUACCAAAAAAAAUUUCUCCCAUACCUUACAAAAAAAUGCAAGGCAAAUUCAAGCAGUGACUUUCAUAAGGCAAUAACACAAUAGCCCUAAAGUCGAUUCACACUAGGGGAAUUCUGCAAAGAGUAGAAAACAAUAUGUUUCCAUGGAGUUCAUCAUGAUUGAUGACAAUAACUAGAGCUUAGUUAUAUGGUGCGGCUUCACGUGGAUCACUCAACAAUGCUAGUUGGAAACAAAUACCUUCCUUUUGACAUUGGAUAUUUGUUCUUCCAUGAGAAUGACGAAAUGGUAGAAGAACAUGCCAACAAAAAUUAACACCUAGCAUGCACCCAAACUACAAGCUGGAGAAAAAUUGCAAGAACCCAAACUACAAGCUUAAGAAAAUUUGCAAGAGGCUAGAUACCAAGGUCGCAGCUAUGCUUGCGUUGUGGUAGAUGUCGCAGGACGCCUAUGCAAUUUCUGUUGACCAGCUCAAUACCAACAUAGAACUGCUACCUAACUAGAGGUCAACGAGGCAACACAAGACAUGUAAAAUUUAAUAUUGCUAUGCAAUUUUAUUCCACUAGUUCCAAACAAUCGAACACAUUACAAAAUAUGCAACCCAAAAAUCCUGGUUCUGAAAUUGAUAAAUGGGUUCUUCCCCAUUACAGUUUCCAGAAACCAGUGGCUCCAACAUGAUGAUUUUGGCAGAACUUUAGGAAAAACUUACAACAACUACUAUUGUUCUCUAGUGAAAGAUCGCACUAAAAAUACAUGGACACAUCACACAUUGUGCGAAGGUAGAGUAAAGGGUAAUGCCAUCAUCAAGAUCACGUUUUACAAGACAUCUUUUUUGGAUCAAUAAACAUGUACAAAGUUCUAUGAGGUAACUAAAGGCCAUGUAUCGUCAUAUAAUGUGUUGAUUCCAGAAUGAUUAGUUUUGCUAAGCAUACCUAAUGUUGCCAUUAGAGUGUCCAAAACUGAAAUGAAUAGUGCUAAUGGAAAUAGUACAGUACAUGUUGAACUCAAACUCAGAAGAGAAUGAGUGCGUUUCCUUGAGAGGAAAAACCUAGACAUGCCCAUGCAAAUGUGAUUGUGUCGGGCUAUUUUUCUUUAAAACAAACAUCAAUUGGUGAGAUUUGUCAUGUUCCUUCAAUGGAUCUUCCAAGAAUGCAAGUGUAGCAACUUUAUUAUGUUUGUUAUUGAUCCUACUAAUCAGUGGAGUUACUUUUCAGAAAGAAGAUUAAAAAAAUAGGAGCUACAAAUCUGUAACAAAAACACUUAAGUGUCAACUGAACCAAAACUUGCGAAAUCAUCUUGCUAUUCUCGGUUGCUGUGUCCAUGAACAAGGUCAGUCGGAGCUAAAACAAGACGAACCAAAAUAGAAACAGGAUUGGGACCCCUCAACAGUUAAACUAAUACACUGAGAGGUCCUAAUCCUGUUUGUAAGAAUUCUGAGAGACAAAGAUAAGAGAUAUAGGGCAAAAAAUAAAUAAAUAAAUAGGAACAUGUCCAACUAAUACAUUUUCCAAACUUGCAUGCAACAUAGAUUGCAUCGCUUGUUUGCAUCAACGUAAAAUUGGAGCAUGUCUAGUUUAAUUCUUCUGUUCAGUGUGUAUCAACAGAUCAAAACUAGAAAUAAAUAGGUGCUUAACCACUCAUCAUUCGCCUUAAGCACAUUGUAAAAAUGUGAAAAGCAAACCUGAGAAAGGUUAGUGUACUGAAGGCGUAUGCAGUGCUUUCACAGAGGUGACAAAGGUUAGUGUACUGAAGGCGUAUGCAGUGCUAGUUGCUACUGUGUCUCACUAGUCUUCAGGUCUGCAACUACAUAAAGUUCUGAAGCGUCACUAAUGUUCAGUUCUGAAGCAGAUUCAGAAUGAUGGGAUGCCAUCCUAAAUACAGUAGCAGCAUCCCUACUCCAUUCCAAGUGAAAAUGGCUGGAACUGGUUCUUUUUUUUGUAGCAGUGGAGCUCUAAAGAAGACAUAAGGAAUAAUAGUUCAUCUAAAACAGAGAAGAUAGACAAGAAACAGGGCUAUCACAUUUGGCUGGACCUAAGAAGAUACUCUGGUGUUGUUCCUCCUCCGCAGCUUCUCCUCUUGCAUGAUCCCCACCUCCUUGAUUUGAUCCCACAUACGAGCUAAGGUUUUCUCCAUCACCCCCUUCAAUAUGCAAGCUCAUCUCCUUUCUUGGUCUUUUUACUCUUUCUUUACCCUGUUCCUCAAAAAUCUAGAACCCUGACCCUAAAAAUUAAGAAAUUCAUGGAGAAGAGGGAAUGGAAGAGGAAGGUAUUACCAACGAGAAGACCGCUGACGAUGGAGAGGGACGCCAGAAAAGGUCGUUGCCGCCGCCGAGCUCGCACCAGAUUGAUGCACUGCCCAGUUCGCCUCCUGGUCGCUACCGCAUGAAGAGGGAAAGGGGGAGUAAUCCACGCAGGAGAGAGAGGGGUAGCCCUUGCUUCAAUAUUGUCCCUCCGGCGUCAUGGACAUGGUUGCCUCCGCCUCCGCAAACCGCAAUCGCCAGCCAGGAGGGGCUGAGGAGAUAGGAACGUCCUCGAAAGUGAACCGCUCGCACCUGAUUAGAAAAGACACGGGUAGGGGUGGAGACAU